rnacentral:tRNA from 1 species
AUGGGUGUAGGCUAGCUUGGUUAAGUCGCUACAUUUGGGAUGUAGAGAUCGCAGGUUCGAAUCCUGCCACCCGUACCA